rnacentral:rRNA from 1 species
CGACGGCAGCACGGACUUCGGUCUGGUGGCGAGUGGCGAACGGGUGAGUAAUAUAUCGGAACGUACCCUGGAGUGGGGGAUAACGCAGCGAAAGUUGCGCUAAUACCGCAUACGAUCUACGGAUGAAAGUGGGGGCUCGCAAGACCUCAUGCUCGUGGAGCGGCCGAUAUCUGAUUAGCUAGUUGGUAGGGUAAAAGCCUACCAAGGCUUCGAUCAGUAGCUGGUCUGAGAGGACGACCAGCCACACUGGGACUGAGACACGGCCCAGACUCCUACGGGAGGCAGCAGUGGGGAAUUUUGGACAAUGGGGGCAACCCUGAUCCAGCAAUGCCGCGUGAGUGAAGAAGGCCUUCGGGUUGUAAAGCUCUUUUGUCAGGGAAGAAACGGUGAAGGCUAAUACUCUUUGCUAAUGACGGUACCUGAAGAAUAAGCACCGGCUAACUACGUGCCAGCAGCCGCGGUAAUACGUAGGGUGCAAGCGUUAAUCGGAAUUACUGGGCGUAAAGCGUGCGCAGGCGGUUAUGUAAGUCAGAUGUGAAAUCCCCGGGCUCAACCUGGGAAUGGCAUUUGAGACUGCAUGGCUAGAGUGUGUCAGAGGGGGUAGAAUUCCACGUGUAGCAGUGAAAUGCGUAGAUAUGUGGAGGAAUACCGAUGGCGAAGGCAGCCCCCUGGGAUAACACUGACGCUCAUGCACGAAAGC